rnacentral:rRNA from 1 species
GACGAACGCUGGCGGCGUGCUUAACACAUGCAAGUCGAGCGGUAAGGCCCUUUUGGGGGUACACGAGCGGCGAACGGGUGAGUAACACGUGGGUGACCUGCCCUCAGCUCUGGGAUAAGCCUGGGAAACUGGGUCUAAUACUGGAUAUGACCUUUCCUCGCAUGGGGUUGGGUGGAAAGUUUUCGGUCUGGGGAUGGGCCCGCGGCCUAUCAGCUUGUUGGUGGGGUGAUGGCCUACCAAGGCGACGACGGGUAGCCGGCCUGAGAGGGCGACCGGCCACACUGGGACGUGAGACACGGCCCAGACUCCUACGGGAGGCAGCAGUGGGAAUAUUGCGCAAUGGGCGGAAGCCUGACGCAGCGACG